rnacentral:lncRNA from 1 species
GGGUGGGGUUGGUUUUUUUUUUUGGGGGGGGGGGAUGAGAAAACAAAAUAAGAGGAGGGGAUCAGCUCUAGAACCCACUGACGACCCCAAACCCACUUCAUUAGCUCUAGAACCCAAAAUAAACCCAAAUUAAGCCCAGAACCCACCCAGAACCCCAAACCCACUGACAAUUCUAGAACUCACUGAUGACCCCAAACCCACUGUUAGCUCUAGAACCCCAAAUUAACUCCAGAACCCCAAAUCAGCCCAAUGAAGGCCACAACUCACCUAGAACCCCAAACCCACCAACAACUCUAGAACCCACUGAUGACCCCAAACCCACUUCGUUAGGCUCUAGAACCCCAAAUUAACCCCAGAACCCCCAAAGAACCCCAAUGAAGCCCAGAACCCACCUAGAACCCCAAACCCACCAACACCUCUAGAACCCACAGAUGACCCCAGACCCACCGACAGCUCUAGAACCCAAUGACAACACCAAACUCACAUCGUUAGCUCCAGAACCCCAAAUUAACCCCAGAACACACCUAGAACCCCAAACCCCCCUGACAGCUCUAGAACCCAACGAUGACCCCAAACCCACUCCGUUAGCUCUAGAACCCCAAAUUAACCCCAGAACCCCCAAAUAACCCCAAAAUAAACCCAGAACCCACCUAGAACCCCACCCCCCAGCAGCUCUAGAACCCACCGACGACCCCAGGCCCACAUCGUUAGCUCUAGAACCCCAAAUUAACCCCAGAACUCCCAAUUAACCCCCAAUUAAGCCCCAACGUAGCCCCGAACCCCCCACCGAUCCCCUCCCCCCCCAUGACGUCACCCAGGCCCCGUCCCCGUGACGUCACUCCCCGCUCCGGCCUCACCGGGCUCCAUGAUGGCGGCGGUGGGCGAUGGGGGGGGGGGGGGGGGGGGGGGGGGAGGGGGCCGCCCUUCGCGCUCCUCCGCCGCCGGUGCAGCGCCGUCGCUCCCGGAAGUGCCGCCGUCACGUGAGCGAGGCUGCCGGGAAGGCCACGCCCCCUUUCGUUUCGUCGCACCGCCCCCCUCCGCUCCGUGCGCAUGCGCCGCCGGAAGCGGGAGUGGAAGGGGGAGCGGAGCGGAAGUGGGUGUGGCGAGAGGCGGAAGUGGGUGGGGAGAUGAGCGGAAGUGGCUGACGGCACCCGGAAGCGGCCGGCGAGGAGAUGGCGGAGGCGGCCGAGGUGUCGGAGGGCUGCCGCCUGCCCGUGCUGCGCCGUAACCAGGACAACGAGGAUGAGUGGCGUGAGUGGGGCGGGGCUUAGGAGGGGGCGGGGCUUUCGAGGGGCGGGGCUUGGGAGAGGUGG